rnacentral:rRNA from 1 species
GUUAUAUGGUCAAGUGAAGAAGCGCAUACGGUGGAUGCCUUGGCAGUCAGAGGCGAUGAAAGACGUGGUAGCCUGCGAAAAGCUUCGGGGAGUCGGCAAACAGACUUUGAUCCGGAGAUGUCUGAAUGGGGGAACCCAGCCAUCAUAAGAUGGUUAUCUUGUACUGAAUACAUAGGUGCAAGAGGCGAACCAGGGGAACUGAAACAUCUAAGUACCCUGAGGAAAAGAAAUCAACCGAGAUUCCCUUAGUAGUGGCGAGCGAACGGGGACUAGCCCUUAAGUGGCUUUGAGAUUAGCGGAACGCUCUGGAAAGUGCGGCCAUAGUGGGUGAUAGCCCUGUACGCGAAAAUCUCUUAGUCAUGAAAUCGAGUAGGACGGAGCACGAGAAACUUUGUCUGAAUAUGGGGGGACCAUCCUCCAAGGCUAAAUACUACUGACUGACCGAUAGUGAACUAGUACCGUGAGGGAAAGGCGAAAAGAACCCCGGAGAGGGGAGUGAAAUAGAUCCUGAAACCGUAUGCGUACAAGCAGUGGGAGCAGACUUUGUUCUGUGACUGCGUACCUUUUGUAUAAUGGGUCAGCGACUUAUUUUCAGUGGCGAGCUUAACCGAAUAGGGGAGGCGUAGCGAAAGCGAGUCUUAAUAGGGCGUCUAGUCGCUGGGAAUAGACCCGAAACCGGGCGAUCUAUCCAUGGGCAGGUUGAAGGUUGGGUAACACUAACUGGAGGACCGAACCGACUACCGUUGAAAAGUUAGCGGAUGACCUGUGGAUCGGAGUGAAAGGCUAAUCAAGCUCGGAGAUAGCUGGUUCUCCUCGAAAGCUAUUUAGGUAGCGCCUCAUGUAUCACUGUAGGGGGUAGAGCACUGUUUCGGCUAGGGGGUCAUCCCGACUUACCAAACCGAUGCAAACUCCGAAUACCUACAAGUGCCGAGCAUGGGAGACACACGGCGGGUGCUAACGUCCGUCGUGAAAAGGGAAACAACCCAGACCGUCAGCUAAGGUCCCAAAGUUAUGGUUAAGUGGGAAACGAUGUGGGAAGGCUUAGACAGCUAGGAGGUUGGCUUAGAAGCAGCCACCCUUUAAAGAAAGCGUAAUAGCUCACUAGUCGAGUCGGCCUGCGCGGAAGAUGUAACGGGGCUCAAACCAUACACCGAAGCUACGGGUAUCAUCUUAGGAUGAUGCGGUAGAGGAGCGUUCUGUAAGCCUGUGAAGGUGAGUUGAGAAGCUUGCUGGAGGUAUCAGAAGUGCGAAUGCUGACAUGAGUAACGACAAUGGGUGUGAAAAACACCCACGCCGAAAGACCAAGGUUUCCUGCGCAACGUUAAUCGACGCAGGGUUAGUCGGUCCCUAAGGCGAGGCUGAAAAGCGUAGUCGAUGGAAAACAGGUUAAUAUUCCUGUACUUCUGGUUAUUGCGAUGGAGGGACGGAGAAGGCUAGGCCAGCUUGGCGUUGGUUGUCCAAGUUUAAGGUGGUAGGCUGAGAUCUUAGGUAAAUCCGGGAUCUUAAGGCCGAGAGCUGAUGACGAGUUAUCUUUUAGAUGACGAAGUGGUUGAUGCCAUGCUUCCAAGAAAAGCUUCUAAGCUUCAGGUAACCAGGAACCGUACCCCAAACCGACACAGGUGGUUGGGUAGAGAAUACCAAGGCGCUUGAGAGAACUCGGGUGAAGGAACUAGGCAAAAUGGCACCGUAACUUCGGGAGAAGGUGCGCCGGUGAGGGUGAAGGACUUGCUCCGUAAGCUCAUGCCGGUCGAAGAUACCAGGCCGCUGCGACUGUUUAUUAAAAACACAGCACUCUGCAAACACGAAAGUGGACGUAUAGGGUGUGACGCCUGCCCGGUGCCGGAAGGUUAAUUGAUGGGGUUAGCUAACGCGAAGCUCUUGAUCGAAGCCCCGGUAAACGGCGGCCGUAACUAUAACGGUCCUAAGGUAGCGAAAUUCCUUGUCGGGUAAGUUCCGACCUGCACGAAUGGCGUAACGAUGGCGGCGCUGUCUCCACCCGAGACUCAGUGAAAUUGAAAUCGCUGUGAAGAUGCAGUGUAUCCGCGGCUAGACGGAAAGACCCCGUGAACCUUUACUAUAGCUUUGCACUGGACUUUGAAUUUGCUUGUGUAGGAUAGGUGGGAGGCUUUGAAGCGUGGACGCCAGUUCGCGUGGAGCCAUCCUUGAAAUACCACCCUGGCAACUUUGAGGUUCUAACUCAGGUCCGUUAUCCGGAUCGAGGACAGUGUAUGGUGGGUAGUUUGACUGGGGCGGUCUCCUCCUAAAGAGUAACGGAGGAGUACGAAGGUGCGCUCAGACCGGUCGGAAAUCGGUCGUAGAGUAUAAAGGCAAAAGCGCGCUUGACUGCGAGACAGACACGUCGAGCAGGUACGAAAGUAGGUCUUAGUGAUCCGGUGGUUCUGUAUGGAAGGGCCAUCGCUCAACGGAUAAAAGGUACUCCGGGGAUAACAGGCUGAUACCGCCCAAGAGUUCAUAUCGACGGCGGUGUUUGGCACCUCGAUGUCGGCUCAUCACAUCCUGGGGCUGAAGCCGGUCCCAAGGGUAUGGCUGUUCGCCAUUUAAAGUGGUACGCGAGCUGGGUUUAGAACGUCGUGAGACAGUUCGGUCCCUAUCUGCCGUGGACGUUUGAGAUUUGAGAGGGGCUGCUCCUAGUACGAGAGGACCGGAGUGGACGAACCUCUGGUGUUCCGGUUGUCACGCCAGUGGCAUUGCCGGGUAGCUAUGUUCGGGAAAGAUAACCGCUGAAAGCAUCUAAGCGGGAAACUUGCCUCAAGAUGAGAUCUCACUGGAACCUUGAGUUCCCUGAAGGGCCGUCGAAGACUACGACGUUGAUAGGUUGGGUGUGUAAGCGCUGUGAGGCGUUGAGCUAACCAAUACUAAUUGCCCGUGAGGCUUGACCAUAUAACACCCAAGCAAUU